rnacentral:rRNA from 1 species
CGUUCCCGGGUCUUGUACACACCGCCCGUCACACCACGAAAGUCGGCAACACCCGAAGCCGGUGGCCUAACCCGCAAGGGAGGGAGCCGUCGAAGGUGGGGCUGGCGAUUGGGGUGA